rnacentral:rRNA from 1 species
GAUGAACGCUGGCGGCGUGCCUAAUACAUGCAAGUCGAGCGAACGUCAUAGAAGCUUGCUUCUAUGACGUUAGCGGCGGACGGGUGAGUAACACGUGGGCAACCUGCCUGUAAGACUGGGAUAACUUCGGGAAACCGAAGCUAAUACCGGAUAGGAUCUUCUCCUUCAUGGGAGAUGAUUGAAAGAUGGUUUCGGCUAUCACUUACAGAUGGGCACGCGGUGCAUUAGCUAGUUGGUGAGGUAACGGCUCACCAAGGCAACGAUGCAUAGCCGACCUGAGAGGGUGAUCGGCCACACUGGGACUGAGACACGGCCCAGACUCCUACGGGAGGCAGCAGUAGGGAAUCUUCCGCAAUGGACGAAAGUCUGACGGAGCAACGCCGCGUGAGUGAUGAAGGCUUUCGGGUCGUAAAACUCUGUUGUUAGGGAAGGACAAGUACGAGAGUAACUGCUCGUACCUUGACGGUACCUAACCAGAAAGCCACGGCUAACUACGUGCCAGCAGCCGCCGUAAUAC